rnacentral:sRNA from 1 species
GGAUGAGAGGGGGAUCUGGCGUGGCGCCUGUCACCUGAGACCGUGUCCUGUGUCUCCUAAUGCCGCUCACAAUGUGACAGGGUCCAUCGCCAGGGCUGAUUCGGCUGACCUGGCUGGCUAGGUGGGGGUCCCUUUGCUCCCUCACCGCUCCAAGUGUGGCCCUCCCGAAGCUGCGUGCUCCAUCCAAGAGGACGACCUUCCCGAUAGAGGAGGUCCCAGUGGUUC